UACGUAGGGGGGCAAGCGUUGUCCGGAAUCAUUGGGCGUAAAGCGCGUGUAGGCGGCUCGAUAAGUCUGCUGUGAAAGUUCAGGGCUCAACCCUGAAAUGCCGGUGGAAACUGUCGGGCUAGAGUCCGGAAGAGGCGAGUGGAAUUCCUGGUGUAGCGGUGAAAUGCGCAGAUAUCAGGAGGAACACCAAUGGCGAAGGCAGCUCGCUGGGACGGUACUGACGCUGAGACGCGAAAGCGUGGGGAGCAAACAGG
rnacentral:rRNA from 1 species